ensembl:snRNA U6 U6 spliceosomal RNA
GUGCUUGCUUCGCAGCACAUAAUACUAAAAUUGGAAUGAUACAGAGAAGAUUAGAAUGGCACCUGCACAAAGUUGACACUCAAAUUCAUGAAGCAUUCCAUAUUUUU